UGCCCAUUUCUCCAUAUCCUUUCCAACAUCUACUGUUUCCUGAGUUGUUCAUUUUAGCCACUCUAACCAGUGUGAGGUAGUUAUCUCAAUGUGGAUUUGAUUUGUAUUUCCCUGAUGAUGAAUGAUGUUGAGCAUUUUUUCAUCCAUCUGCUGGCCAUCU